AGGAUCUGCACGUAGUGGUCAUUUCAAACAGUGGCUUUAACACGGUUGCUGCAAAGGAGGUGCUUAAGACCACCUCUGCAAAGCUUCUUUGCACAAUUCAGAUGACAUCAGCAGUAAUAAACACAACUGAUGAAGACAGUUUAACAACUGUUAUGCAACACUGAACCAUGCAAAGGAACCAGGGCAGCUGGAUCAGUUAAGAAAAAGUCAAUGGUGGUGCAGAUGGUGAUGACAGCUCAUACAGAAAUGCUGCUAGAUUUCUAACCAUUGCCUCAAAACACUGAUUUCAAACUGCAGGGCUGUAAUGACAACAUAAA